GACGAACGCUGGCGGCGUGCCUAACACAUGCAAGUCGAACGGAAAGGCCCUGCUUUUGUGGGGUUCUCGAGUGGCGAACGGGUGAGUAACACGUGAGUAACCCGCCCUUGACUUUGGGAUAACUUCAGGAAACUGGGGCUAUUACCGGAUAGGAUCUCCUGCUGCAUGGUGGGGGUUGGAAAGUUUCGGCGGCUUGGGAUGGACUCGCGGCUUAUCAGCUUGUUGGUGGGGUAGUGGCUUACCAAGGGUUUGACGGGUAGCCGGCCUGAGAGGGUGACCGGCGACAAUGGGACUAAGAGAGGGCCCAGACGCCAACGGGCGGCAGCGGUGGGGAAUAUGGCGCAAUAGGCGGGAGCCUGAUACAACAGCGCCGCGUGCGGGAUGACGGGCUUCGGGUUGUAAACCGAUUUCGCCUGUGACGAGGCGUGAGUGACGGUAAUGGGUAAAGAAGCACCGGCUAACUACGUG
rnacentral:rRNA from 1 species